CAGACUGACGGACUUGGCUUGAUUCAUUUCUACAUCUGGUGACCCCGACGUGAUUCCCCCUGCUCACCGGCUGGAAUAGCCCUCUGUGCACCGAAACUCGCUGGAAAGCUUCAUUUCGCAAUGAUACAGAGGGAGGAAGAGGGAGAAUUGAGCAGCGAGCAGAUAGGAGAGUUAUUGGCUGCGUUCCCAGUGACACAUCGCCCAGGCAACGCAGCGGGGGAAGCUGAAGUGGAGAUCACAGCCCCCCCCUAUUCCGUUCUCCGAGAGGCGAGACGGACGGUUACUGAGUCGGGAUCAAAAUCCACCUUCACCCGAGGUCCGUUGUGGGUCCCUGCCAAAAAUGUGCGACCGUGGCACGAUGACGUGGCAUCAAAGCCUCAAGAACCCGAUACCCAACUUCAAUCUGAACCUAACCGAGACCUUUCCAGUGUGCCGAGCCACAAAGAUGGCACCGAGGGUUACCUGGGGGCAGGUGAAGCGACUGGCGCAGCAGGCUCAGCAAAUGCUGGAGAAUAACAAGGCUGAGCCUACCCCCGAAAAUUUUACUGCUGCUAUUUUUGCCUGUUUGAUUGCUAAUUCCUUUACCAUAUUGUUGUGUUGUUUUUGUGUGUUACCGGCUGGGGCCGAACCCGAAUUGCAUAGCCGCAUGCGUUAUAAUAUAUGAGUUCGAUUUGCGGUCCUUGCCAAUCAAUCUUCCUUUUGUUUACAGCAGGCCCCUGAGAUGCAUGGCCUGUUGGGCACCUGCCUGGUCCCAGUAUGCAAGGUGCCAGGCGAUGCUGCAGAUGCAAUAGGGAUGUUAAUUAUAUUAAUGCCACCGAGAUUCGAUAUUCUUCCAUGAGCCUAUGGGGUCAAGCCACUUAUGUGAAACCCGCGAGUGCCUUGUCCCUUUUUACCCCAUGGGUAGCCAAUUAUGCCAGUUUGACCUGUGUACGGAUGGUUAAUUGCACACGUCACAAGCCCCCAAAAGGAUGUUUGCGGGUGGGUACCCUGGGAUGGAACUGUACACACUUUCAAAAUGUGUCCAGCAAUUACGGGCACAUCUUGUUACCGGAGGGUUGAUUUUCUACAUGUGGUCAGAGGACCUUUAAUUAUAUUCCGGCCAACAUUUCAGAAGCUCAGUGCUGCCUAAGCAGGCUCACGUUGAUACUCCCCACGAGGUCAAUGUUGACCGGCUCCCAAACUAAUGAGACCCGCACCCGACGCCGGCAAAGCUCAAUCCCCAUGAGAUUAGAUUGUAAUGCCAAUGUCAGCCUUUUCAGUUGGGCUAAGUACAUCUUUCUGGCUGCCAUCCAUGGGAUGGGCUCGAAUUGUUUUGCAAUAUGCUUUGAUUGUUAUCGCCUGCUUGAUUGGUUUUUGUUGCUUUGCUCAGUGUAUUCCUAAUAUAAUUAGGAUGUGUUUUACACCCUGUCGGCGCAAACCCCUGCCUACAUUCCAGGCCGUCAUGUAUGCCCAUAGAAUCAUGAAACAUGCGGACCAGGCACGGGUUGACAAAACAGAAAAGGAGGGGAUGUAGGAACGUUACACUUCUUAAGCACUAAGGGGGUAGGAAAACCGCCCCCAACAUUUAGAGCGGCUGAAGUGGUUCCCACCCCCCCACACUUCCAGUCAGGAGACACACUGAUAGAGCGCUGACCAGGUGUUUACCACUGGAGUACGCAGUGCAUAAAGCACCAAUCAGGAGAGGGGGCGAGGAGCUGGCUUGUGUUAGUACAUGCGUAUAAUAGGAUGAUUUAUGUAACCAAUUAUAAUAUAUAGACGUGGAAAUCCCCGUUCGGGGCACUCCACCGGAACAGACUGACUGACUUGGCUUCAUUCAUUGCUACACCUCCUACUUCAAAAGAUUAAAAAGUGUGAAAAGAGAGGUAUUUUUCUCCA